GACGGAGGGGGCAAGCGUUAUUCGGAAUCAUUGGGCGUAAAGGGCGCGUAGGCGGCUUGGCAAGUCAAAGGUGAAAUCCCUCGGCCUAACCGAUGAACUGCCUUUGAAACUGCUUGGCUUGAGGCCGGGAGAGGGUAGCGGAAUUCCCAGUGUAGCGGUGAAAUGCGUAGAUAUUGGGAGGAACACCAGUGGCGAAGGCGGCUACCUGGACCGGUUCUGACGCUGAGGCGCGAAAGCGUGGGGAGCAAACAGG
rnacentral:rRNA from 1 species